GGCGGCGAUGGCGCGGAGCGUGCGCGUGCUGGUGGACAUGGACGGCGUCCUGGCCGACUUCGAGGCCGGCCUCCUGCGGGGCUUCCGCCGCCGCUUCCCUGAGGAGCCGCACGUGCCGCUGGAGCAGCGCCGCGGCUUCCUGGCCCGCGAGCAGUACCGCGCCCUGCGGCCUGACCUGGCGGAUAAAGUGGCCAGUGUGUACGAAGCCCCGGGCUUUUUCCUGGACCUGGAGCCCAUCCCGGGAGCCUUGGACGCUGUGCGGGAGAUGAACGACCUACCGGAGUAAGGAGAGAGGGGGGCGGGCGGAGUCCUGGGCGGGCUCCUGGCUCCCGGCGGUAACGGCGUCCUUCUCCGCAGCACGCAGGUCUUCAUCUGCACCAGCCCCCUGCUGAAGUACCACCACUGUGUGGGUGAGAAGGUGUGGCUGCCCCGCCCCUACUCCGCACGUGUAGCUGCCUAAAUCCUGAUUUUAAAAAGAAACCACCAGAAACCCAGAAGUACCGCUGGGUGGAGCAGCACCUGGGGCCCCAGUUCGUAGAACGAAUUAUCCUGACAAGGGACAAGACGGUGGUCUUGGG
rnacentral:sRNA from 1 species